rnacentral:rRNA from 1 species
GACGAACGCUGGCGGCGUGCCUAAUACAUGCAAGUAGAACGCUGAAGGAGGAGCUUGCUCUUCUGGAUGAGUUGCGAACGGGUGAGUAACGCGUAGGUAACCUGCCUGGUAGCGGGGGAUAACUAUUGGAAACGAUAGCUAAUACCGCAUAAGAGUAGAUGUUGCAUGACAUUUACUUAAAAGGUGCAAUUGCAUCACUACCAGAUGGACCUGCGUUGUAUUAGCUAGUUGGUGGGGUAACGGCUUACCAAGGCGACGAUACAUAGCCGACCUGAGAGGGGGCUCGGCCACACUGGGACUGAGACACGGCCCAGACUCCUACGGGAGGCAGCAGUAGGGAAUCUUCGGCAAUGGACGGAAGUCUGACCGAGCAACGCCGCGUGAGUGAAGAAGGUUUUCGGAUCGUAAAGCUCUGUUGUAAGAGAAGAACGAGUGUGAGAGUGGAAAGUUCACACUGUGACGGUAUCUUACCAGAAAGGGACGGCUAACUACGUG